rnacentral:rRNA from 1 species
CAGUCGCCACGGUAAUACGAAGGGGGCUAGCGUUGUUCGGAUUUACUGGGCGUAAAGGGCGCGUAGGCGGGCGAAUAAGUCAGGGGUGAAAUCCCAAGGCUCAACCUUGGAACUGCCUUUGAUACUGGCGACCUUGAGUAUGGGAGAGGUAAGCGGAACUCCGAGUGUAGAGGUGAAAUUCGUAGAUAUUCGGAAGAACACCAGUGGCGAAGGCGGCUUACUGGCCCAUUACUGACGCUGAGGCUCGAAAGCGUGGGGAGCAAACAGGAUUAGAUACCCGAGUAGUCCCUGUCUCUUAUAC